rfam:Oryza meridionalis cultivar OR44 (W2112) chromosome 7, whole genome shotgun sequence.
AAUAAGCGUAAUCGUGGGUUUCAGAGUCCAACUUUGAUCAUUCAUCUUAUUCGAAAUAUUUUUAUAAUUAGUAUUUUUAUUAUUAUUAGAUGAUUAAAUAUGAAUAGUACUUUGUGCGUGACUUAACUUCUAAAGCUUUUUCAUAAAAUUUUCAAAUAAGACGAAUGGUCAAACGUUAGUCACGGAAACGGAAACUUAUGGCUGUACUUGUA